UAUCAGUGCAGUGUGCUGGCACCUGAUCCACCAUCACAUUCUCUUCUUCGGGUCUGAGAUAAAACCAGCAAACUUCAGCGUUCGAUAUAAGACAAUAACUCUGAGAUUAACAAGACAUGUUAACAGCAGAGAGGAAGCAGUGGGGAGAAUCAAUAGUUUUAAAAUUAAGUGAAGUUUUUAUGGGUCUUCUGUCUGCUGUGGGUUCUUGUUAUCAUCACCUCCCAAAGGUUACCACUUGAUCAUGUUCAGGUGGAAACCAUCACCACUUGGUUUUGGUUUGAAGGGAAAAUGGAUACCAUCCACUGAAUGCUUUCCUAGGUGAUUCCCUGGAAGCAUUCCAAGAAAUCUUGAAGUAAUCAGACAUCACAUGCCAAGAAGCAGAAAUGUGAAAUGUUUACGAGUAUGUAUAAGAACAGCAGAGGAAGGCCUGAGCUUGUCCUAUGUGAGUGGAAGGAUGGGGAGAAAAGGUUUAUAUCACUAAGGAAAAAUCAAGCACCAAGAUUCUGAUGUAAGCUUCUUAGGAAAUGAAUGACAAUCACAAAAUGAGAGAAAAUUUGCAUUGACUGUGCUUUACAGAAAGUACACCGAAUUGUUUCCAGGAGUUGAGUUUUCCCCUGCCAAAAUACUGCCCUAUUUGGGAUCUUCAGAGGAUGUAUCCAAACAAAUCUGACUGCUAACAGGAGCCCUUCUGGAGUGUGUUUCUCAAGCCCCUCUAAAGAAGCAGUAGGAGGAGAAGCUUCUGUAGUGUAUAUGUGCAUCUGGAGGGCACCGUGUGUCCUGGGCCAUGUCUGAGGUUCUGCAGCAUUCCUACGCUACAUGUAAAGUUAUUGAUGAGCUGUGCAUCAUGAAUUAUGCUUGAGAUAAGAAUUGGUCUUUCAAGAGAUUUCUAAUAGCCUUAAAAUCUUACUUCAAAAAACUGCAGAGGUAAAAAAAAAUGCAUAGCUUAGAGGUAUUGGAAGGAAACCAAAAGCAGUAUCAAUAGCUAGGUGAUCGGCUGUGUCUGUUUCUUAAAAUAGUUGCCCAGACAUUUCUUAGAGCACAGCCAGGAGGAAGGCUGGAUCUUGUGUUUGUCACCUCAGUUAACGCUACAGAUAGGGUGAAUUCUAAGAAAGUGCCUGCAUUCAGGCUAAAAGCAUUCAUUAUUUGUGAACAAUGCUUCAAAAAACAGGUGUUCUGAAUUUUCUGAACACUUUUAUCAAAGUUGUGGAGUAAAGCUAUGAAUGCUCUCAAAAUAUCUAUGAAUGUAUUUGGGAAGUAUUUAAGUUACAAGCUAGUUUAUUCAUUUAGAAGUAACUUAUCCCAUGGAUUGAAAUUGAGUUCUAGUCAAAAUAUUUUGUAUCUAAAUAUUUUCCUUUACACAUAUAUUAUGUUAGUGCUGUGACUUUCUCCUGAGUGUAUAUUUUAAAUGUUUUUUAUCUAAAUACUUUUACAUUUUAUAAAAAUGUUUUAUUUGUAUAUCUUUAAAGGUACUUAAAUGUAAUGCAUAAAUACAUUUGAAAAUUUAUAUAUUUAGCAACAAUAUUUAAAAAUAUUUAUAUUGAAUUUAUAGUAAGCAUUUUUAAUAGUUAUAUAUUUUAUUUAUAUUUCAAAGUAAUGUUCAAGAACAGUUUUUCAAAUGUAUUGACAAAAGCAUUAAUGGUCAGGGCCUUAAUCAGAAGGGAGUAUUUACUGGAGUUCACUGGUUUUGUGUAGUUAAGUUUUUUAGAAAAAAUACAUAUAGAUUUAACUCAACAAAGAGAGAAUCUAUAAAGUAAAUCUUUAAUUUGCCAAUUGGUUAAUAAAUUGCUAGAACUAA